rnacentral:sRNA from 1 species
CCAUUUGGGGGAGUAGCCGUCCCGCGCCGACAGGCGGGAGGUUGCGUCAACAUCAUUGGCCGUUCGGCCGUGGCGCAUCCAGCUGCAGUGCAGCCUGGCGAGACUCGAAUGACGUCGCACUGAGCGAGGGCCAGUGUGUGCGUUAUUCGUGUGUUUUGCCCUCGCCCG